rnacentral:rRNA from 1 species
GCUUCGGCUAUCACUUUUGGAUGGUCCCGCGGCGUAUUAGCUAGAUGGUGGGGUAACGGCUCACCAUGGCAAUGAUACGUAGCCGACCUGAGAGGGUAAUCGGCCACAUUGGGACUGAGACACGGCCCAAACUCCUACGGGAGGCAGCAGUAGGGAAUCUUCCCACAAUG